rnacentral:rRNA from 1 species
GAUGAACGCUGGCGGCGUGCCUAAUACAUGCAAGUAGAACGCUGAAGGAGGAGCUUGCUCUUCUGGAUGAGUUGCGAACGGGUGAGUAACGCGUAGGUAACCUGCCUGGUAGCGGGGGAUAACUAUUGGAAACGAUAGCUAAUACCGCAUGACAACAGUUAUUGCAUGAUAACUGUUUAAAAGUGGCAACUGCUCCACUACCAGAUGGACCUGCGUUGUAUUAGCUAGUUGGUGAGGUAACGGCUCACCAAGGCGACGAUACAUAGCCGACCUGAGAGGGUGAUCGGCCACACUGGGACUGAGACACGGCCCAGACUCCUACGGGAGGCAGCAGUAGGGAAUCUUCGGCAAUGGACGGAAGUCUGACCGAGCAACGCCGCGUGAGUGAAGAAGGUUUUCGGAUCGUAAAGCUCUGUUGUAAGAGAAGAACGAGUGUGAGAGUGGAAAGUUCACACUGUGACGGUAUCUUACCAGAAAGGGACGGCUAACUACGUG